CAACCCUAGGAAACUAAUAUCCAUCGCAGCACCAGUACAAAGUGUGAUGGGAGCACAUGAGCAGAUGAUGGCUCAGGACAUAUGAAGACAGGAAACUGCAAAUCCUCCACACUUACUUUAGGAACAAAAUAUAUUGAGAACUGAAUGGCUAAAAGAAGAUUUCAAGGAGAAUGUUUACCUACAAAGAAGACAAAUGGUUUUAAAACAUAUUUCAAAUUCCCCCUGAAAAUUCCUGUUUAAAAGAAGGUAGGAACCAAUUAUCUUUAACCAGUGCUUUCAACUGGAGUUAUCUACAGCGAAAAUCUGUCCCUUUUUGUCUUUUACUCCCAAUUAUAAUCCAUAGAACAAUAAACUUGAUGUAAACA